CCUUUGAAAAUAGCGUAGUAGGCUAGCCCCUUUGAAAAUGAUGUAGUGGGCCAAGAAGAGCCCAAUCUGGGGCUCCUAAGCAUAGCUACUGGGCCAGAAAAUGGCCCAGUCCAUGAGUUGAUGGGGGGAAUGCAUGGGUGAGCCAACUUCAUUUGAAUUUCAUGUUAAAUCAUGUCUAACAAUGUUAUUAUUUACUAAAUCUCUAUUUAAUUGGUAACAGUUCAAAUCUCAUAUGCAUAGAUCCUCUUUACUUGAACUAACUCAAGUCCAAGACGGUUUAGUGUGGGUGCUGAGUAGGGUUUAUGCACAUUGGAGUGAUUCAAAUUGAUGUCAUCUUGAAUUGACCAAGUUGAUGCAGGUAUAGGGCGAGCCGAUACUGUUCACUAGGUUGCUAGAGCAGAUCGAGUAGCUAGGGAGUUAGGCGGGGUCCUUGCAGCCUGCAUUAAUCUCCACUACUAGUUGAUAGACUCAAAUUUUUACUUACCUGAACUUUGUUAUUUGAGAUUGUAUAAGUCUUGUAUAGGCACUACAUUUGGAAUUUUGUAAUGAUCAGAAUGUUUUUAUUUAAUGCAUGGUUUAUUCUAGCU